rnacentral:rRNA from 1 species
GACGAACUGUGCAAACGUUAUUCGGAAUCACUGGGCUUGAAGAGUGCGUAGGCGGUUUCGUAAGUAGGGUGUGAAAGCCCCCAGCUCAACUGGGGAACUGCGUCCUAAACUGCGAGGCUGGAGUGAGGUAGGGGGUGUGUGGAACUUCCGGUGGAGCGGUGAAAUGUGUUGAUAUCGGAAGGAACGCCGGUGGCGAAAGCGACACACUGGGCCUUGUCUGACGCUGAGGCACGAAAGCCAGGGGAGCAAACGGGG